AGUGAACGCUGGCGGCGUGCUUAACACAUGCAAGUCGAACGAGAACGGAAUAUAGCUUGCUAUAUUUGUCAGCUAAGUGGCGCACGGGUGAGUAAUGUAUAGAUAACCUGCCCUUAAGAAGGGAAUAACAGUUGGAAACGACUGCUAAUGCCCUAUAUGCCUUUAAUACAUAAGUAUGCAAGGGAAGCGCUUUAGUGCUUAAGGAUGGGUCUGUAUGGUAUCAGCUUGUUGGUGAGGUAAUGGCUCACCAAGGCUAUGACGCCUAACUGGUUUGAGAGGAUGAUCAGUCACACUGGAACUGAGACACGGUCCAGACUCCUACGGGAGGCAGCAGUGGGGAAUAUUGCACAAUGGACGAAAGUCUGAUGCAGCAACGCCGCGUGGAGGAUGACACAUUUCGGUGCGUAAACUCCUUUUAUAUAGGAAGAUAAUGACGGUACUAUAUGAAUAAGCACCGGCUAACUCCGUGCCAGCAGCCGCAGUAA
rnacentral:rRNA from 1 species